rnacentral:lncRNA from 1 species
GGUAUAGAAAAGAAGAAAGUGCAGGAAAUGCCUGUAUCAUCAGGAGUCAGUUUCACGAAGGCCCCUGUAAAUGCUACUCUGAAACCAAGGAUCAAGAGAAGGUAGAAACAAGUUACAUUGUCCCAGCUCACCAUUAAGCCCCCUAUGUAUCUCUCCUAUCUUGGAGGUGACUUGGAAGAUUGUGAUGGAUGUGAAAUUAGAGAGGAGAAUUACGUUGUAAGCUAGAUAUUUGAAUUGUGUCCUCUUGGGUGCUUUUCAGCUUUUGUCUCAUCAUGGCACACAUAGAAAAUUAGAGUAUUUUUUAUUUCAUGUGCCAUGCUGGAGUAAAGGAGGAGGAUGCUUGGUCCAGGGAUGGAGGGGUCAGUAUCUCAAGCACCCUGUAAGCCAUCUGUGACACAGCAGUGUGCCCUGAUGCCUCAACUAUGUCCAACCCUUGCCUAACCUUGGAACUGUGAGAUAUUCAUGGAUGCUUCCAAUAAAUUCCACAUUUUUCUUAAUUGGGUUUGGGAUGAGCUUCUUUCACUCUGUCACCAAGAAUGCAAGUUAAUUAAUACAUCUUGAUCACUUUUGAGAGCUCUUUGGGAUGGCAUUCAUUGCUUGAAUUAGGACAACCAGGGUAGAGAAAGUUAAAACCACAGUGAAGCAUCCCAGAUUUUAAUACCUAGUUUCUAAAAUACAUUUAUCUGAGGUCUCCCCUGGGAGACAGCACAAUAUAAUGGGAAGAUUGUGGGCUCUGGAAUCAGACUUGGGUUUGAGGCCAACUCUAUAUUUUCCAAGCAGAAAUCGUGACUCUAAGCAGUUAACUGUACUACUCUAAGUUUUAUCUGUCAAAUGGAGAUUAUAGAACCUCCAUUGAAGAGUUAUUGUCACAAUGUGUAAUGAAUAAUGCAUUAAAGGACUUGACAUAGAAGCUGGCUCACCAGACGCACUCAGCAUCCACAUUUCACUGAAUCUAAGAUACCCUCAGUUGUAAUAGGCAUCAUGAUUUUAGGUAUCACUGAUAAAGGAAAAACCUAUUAAUCUGUGAUAUGCCUUUGAUGAGAUAUAAAGUAUUCUGAUUUCAGAGCUCUUCAACUAUGGAAAGAAAUACGCCUUAGAGUUGAUGAAAUACAGUGUAUUUAUUGGGCACAGAUGAUAUAGCCAAUUAUGUAGGCACCAGUGAUACAGGCAUGAACAAGAUUGACGUUUCCCCUUAAGGUGCUAGGAUCUAAUAAUUAAUACAUUUCAGAUUUUCAAAAGGAUUCAGAAUUAGCUUAGGUGGUGAACUCAUGGUUUGCAAAAAUGCCUGGGACCAAGAAGUAAAGCAGCAGAGAAAUACUAGACUUUAAUCCUCUUAUAUGUUGUUAGCUUCUAUAGCAGUUAUAUCUUCAUGCUCUGCAUACAAUCCAAAACAAAUUGUCUGCUUACAGUUAAAAUCCUGCUGAGUUUCCAAGAGUCCAGCCCCCGGGGAGCUAUUUGAACACCAUGUCUUAUCCACAAUGACGCAAUUCUACUUUUAAGGGACAAUUAAGGGGUUUCCUUGUAAGUCAGGCCAAAUUUUCUCCAAAAUACAUGAAGGAAGUGCCUAGAAAAGAAAACGUUUGAGGCUUAUUUUCAUACUGUCGCUUAAGAAAAACAAUUUCCAAAAAGGACUGAUUUUUUUUUUUAAAUUAAAUUUGGAAGGCCUGUACUUUUAUAGCCCUUUGCAGCCUUUUAGUAGAACAGAACAAAGUCCCUUAGGAAACUUAAUGUAACAGUAACCAAAUGUCCUUGUUAAGCAGCCAUUUAUUGGUCUAUUAAAUCUGAUCUGAACUAUGAUAUUUUGCGGUAAAUCUCUGCUCCAACAUAAAUUGCUCAAGACGGGCUUCUUUAGGCAUCUACCCCACAGCUUCAGCAUCAUCUCAGAAAAGACACAUGUGUUUGCAUCUUCCUAAGCAGCUCUUUGGGGAGAAGAUAUCUAAAAGGCCAUUUUCUUUGCUUCUUUUGCUUAGGAAGACAUGAAAAUGGUUUUAGAGAUAGUUCAGUCCAGUUGUUUCAUUUUACAGAUGAAGUGGGGUGUCCAAAAAUUAAUGGUUAUUAUUGUUUAGUGUAGUCCAGGUGCUGUCUUAGGUCCUGGGGAUGCAGACAUAAAUGUUUCUCUGCCCUGAGGCACUCACUAUCCCAUAAAAAUGAGUGAUCAGCAAGUAGACUAGUAAAUGCCAGGCAACGGAGGGAGCCCCCUAAAUGAGGGCUGGCAGUUGGGAGAGGGGAGGGAAACAAUCAUUGCAUUGUCAGAGCCCCCGAAGGAACCACAGGAUUCAUUCAGAGAGUUUUAAAUGAAGAGACUAAUAAAGGGACUACUUCGAGAAUGAUGGGCGCAAACAAGGGAUUUGGGGGCACCUUGAGAAUACUUUUUGGAAGCCAUUAUCUCUUCUAGAAUCGAAAGAGCAAGAGAAAGACAAAGCGUAUUAGAGUCUGAUAAGAAGUGGGGCCUUGGAGAGCAGCCUCUUGGGGGGGCUGCAGCCAGGGUCACAGCCACUGCCAGAGAAAAGGCACCCGAGAAAAGGAGGAAGCCGGGAAGAAAUGCCUCAGCCUCUCUCUGCCUAGUUUUCUCGUUUUCCACUGGCACUUCCCAUUGAGCCCAACUGAAAGCCAGUUUGCAAAUGUGGUAUAACUUGACAGAGCCGGCUUCCUGAAGCAUAGAGCUGGGCAAAGUAGGACAGAAAAUGGAUCUGGGGAGAGGGUAAAUGCAGGUUAACCAGCACAUCUGGCAUUUACACACACACAUGCACCAUUCAUUCAUUUAGCAAAGAGUUUGAAGCACCUACUAUAAAAAUAAUAGAGAUAAAAGCUGCUAGAGACCAUGUGCUUGGCGUUGGAGGUGAAAGGGUAAACUAAAUCCGUACCAUUUUUACCCUAUGGACUUCCUAGUCUAGUCUAAAAAAAGGCAAAGUAAAUAAUCCAUAAGGCAUAAUGAGUAUUUUGUUGAGAGGUCAGGAGGCUUUGGAAGUACAUGGGGGUGGAGACAUAGCUAAUCAAAUCUAAGGCCCACAGAAUAGUCCCCUGAGAAAGUGGCCUUUAGGUUGAGACUUAGGGGUGAAUAGAAGUCAGCCACCUAUAGGAGUGAGCAGCAGAGAGAGGAGUGUUCCUGGUGGAGGGAGCACAUAAGCAAAAGCCCAGAGGCAACAGUGGCUGUCAAUCACGUGGACCUUGGAGCAUGAUGGGAAAGUGUUACGAGAUGAGGCUGAAGUGGCACUCAGAACCAGAUUGUUUUGGGCCAUGUAUUUCCAGAUUUUGAUCCUAAAGGCAAUGAGAAAGGCAUCUGAAAGCUUUAAUUAGGUUUUCUCCAGGUUUGAAGGGUCACUCAGGAUAUAACUUUCUUUCAACCAUCCUGACUUAAGGGGAUAUAGCAUGGUUAUGCUCAAGAUGAGUCCUAAGAACAAUAGGAGCCCAUUAACUGAUAACAAUUAAGAAUGGUGUUCCAGGCAGAGGGAAGAGCACAUGCAAAUAUUCAGAGACAAAAGAAACAGAAGAGGUUCAGAGACAUUAAGUCAUUUAUACCAAAUGAACAUGGGUAGUGAGUGGGGAAGGUGAUGAAUGGCAGGACAGGUAAGUGAUGAUUGUGAGUUAUCACUCCUAUUAUCCUGUGCAUCCUGAACUUCCAGUCCAUCAGCCCUCUUCCCAUCACUAGAGCACAUGCUUUUAUUUCUCAUAUGGCACAUACCUGGUGUUGGAAUUGCUGAGCCCAGGGGUAGACAUAUGUUUCAGCAUUAAUAAUAGUUCCCCUCUCUGUCUUUGCUUGUGUUGAUUCCACUGUCAAGAAUCCCCUUUUCCACCAUCUGUUUAAGGAAACUGCUCGAUAGCAGUUGCAGAAACUGCAUAUUAAGAGUGCCAGGGCAAGAGAAGAGAAUGGCCAGCAGGUAGUAGCCAAAGUUGGAGAGGGAAUGGGGAAACAGCAGGAGUGGGCCUCGAAAUGCAGAACAAGUACCAAAAGUGGUGACAGUCAUUUCAAAAUGGAAUCUGUGAAAUAAGGAGUUCAUAGGAGCAAGUUAGUUUUAAAUCACCAUAUCCAGCCUUCUUUGGGGUUGUUUUAUGCUCUCCUUAAAGCUGCAAAUCUCUGUGCUUGUUGGCUGACCUAAAUGCUUUUGUUCUUUCCGUUUAAUAUUCAGUAACAUCUAAACAUAGUUUUCUUCAUUAAAUGGUGUUCCAGGCUCUCUUGCAGUCUGGUGAUCGAAAUGUAAACUGGUACAAACUCUUUCAAAGAAAUUGUGUGAUGUUGUCUGGAGAACCUUUAAGAUCAAUAUUCUUUAAUCCAGGACUUUCAGGGAAAUCUACUCAGUGUUCUGUAGUACCUUAUAUGGAAAAAGAAUCUGAGAAAGAAUGUGUAUAUGUAUAUUAUAAUGAUUCACUUUGCUGUGCACCUGAAGACAACACAACAUUGUAGGUCAACUAUACUCCAGUAAUAAAAAAAAAAAUACUGAAAUUGACAGACUGAAUAAAGCAGAUUUCCCUUGCUAAUGUGGUGGGCCUCAUUCAGUUAGUUGAAGGGCUGAACAAAACAAAAGCCUGACUUUCUCCUAAAUAACACAUUCCUGCUGCCUGACUAUUUUUGAGCUAGAACGUUGUUUUUUUUUCUCUGCCUUUGGACUCAAACUGAAAAAUCUCCUCUUCCCUCUUCCUGGGUCUCAAGCCUAUUGGUAUUAAGGCUGGGCCUGCACCAUUGGCUUUACCAAGGCUCCAAUUUGCUAACUGAAGAUCUUGGAACUUGGGCUACCAUAAUUUCAUGAGCAAAUUCCU